rnacentral:rRNA from 1 species
UACAGAGGUCUCAAGCGUUGUUCGGAUUCAUUGGGCGUAAAGGGCGCGUAGGCGGCCACCGCAAGUCGACUGUGAAAUCUCCGGGCUUAACCCGGAAAGGUCAGCCGAUACUGCGGGGCUAGAGUGCAGAAGGGGCAACUGGAAUUCUCGGUGUAGCGGUGAAAUGCGUAGAUAUCGAGAGGAACACCUGCGGCGAAGGCGGGUUGCUGGGCUGACACUGACGCUGAACUGCGAAAGCUAGGGGAGCGAACGGG